rnacentral:ncRNA from 1 species
UUCGGCCGGUCAGCGGUUCCUCCGCUGCCCUUCAAGCCGUCGCCGACGCAUCCCCAAUCGAUAAUAUCGAGCGAUCCAGUCGCCUUCUCGCGGCGCGGC